CCAAAAAUGGAGACACACCUUUCUAGGAUAUACUUUGGCUCGAUAUUAAAUAGUUAGUUUACUAUAUUUAAAAUUAUGGGAGUUAAAGCAUAAGCCAGUUUAUAAUUUUAAUAAAUAGUAGACAUACUAAUUUAGAGUUUAGUUAAAAUAAAUGGUUAACUAGGUGCCAGCAACCGCGGUCAUACCUAUGUUGUUAACUAACUAAGUAAAGUCUUUCUUUUUUCCUAUAGAUUGUUCUCUUUAAUAGUGAAAUAUAAAGUGAAUCUCAAUUUUCUUAUAGAAGCUAAUCUAAGCUCAGAAAUAAACCAGGAUUAGAUACCCUGCUAUACCAAGCCCUACAAAGGAAGAUCUAAAUAGUAAUAUUUUCAAAAUGAAACUUAAAAGUCAUGGCGGCUAUUAAAAUUUAUUAGGGGAACUUACCACAUAAUUGAUAACCACCAAGCUAAAUAAACGCUUAUUAAAAAGUUUGUAUGCCGUCGUGGAGAGUUUAUCUUAGAUAAACUCUAAAAGAUUUUGUUUUCAUGACCACAGAUCAAGGUGCAACUUAUAUUAGCGAAGUAGGCGAGUUACAAUAUAAACUAUAUAACGGAAUUUAGGUUGUAGAACCUAAAUGAAGUUGGACUUAAAAGUAAUUUCUAAAGUAAAUUCAAUUGAUGAAUUCUAUUUUAAUAGUGC
rnacentral:rRNA from 1 species